UUAGACAUUUUCGUGGUGUACUGCGACUCCCAGUGGCUUAAGUGUGCGUACCAUGUCUUGACAGUUUUAUUACAGGGUAGUAUCAAAUAAAUACGUCAUUUUUGAGUUUCAAUGAUUUGCCCAUAUGAACUCAUAGGCUACUAUAGGCCUACGUGUUUGUAUCUACCUCGGAUGGAUGAUUAGAGGACGAUUUGGGUUCAGAAGAUGUAUGGAAUAGUGAACUCACAAAUCAUCAUUUGACCGAGCAAGGAUUUUAAGAUCACGCCCUACUUUGCGUGAGCGGUGACGCUCUGCAACAGCGUCAAUUGUCACCGGUUCAGAAUACGGAGACAGCAAUACCGGUUUGUUGGGGGGGAAUAAAGCCCAAGCAUUUUCGAGGAACGACAGUGGUACGAAUGUACAUUCUUAUUCCGACAACGAUUGUAUUAACUUUGGCAAUCUUUCGAGAGCGUGGCGUAGCUGGGGUGUCGACCGGCGGAUGCUGGCUGCUCCCUCUCGAUGGUGUCUCCCACCAUGAAGGCGGUGGUAGACGCUGUGUGGGCGGUGUGGAGCAUCGGGGCCUCCAUCUACGACUACAUCCACACCAGCGCCAUGGAGGAGCGCAUCCACGCGCUGGAGAACGUCAUCACGGUGCACCAGUGCGUCAUAGGCCUGUUGUCUGCCACCCUGGUGGUGAUGUUCACCUACAUACUGUUUAGAAACCACUGAGGGGCUAGGAGGUGGAAGACGGGACGCGAGGGAACUGGAGAACGGACGUGGAUGGGAUUUCGGUAACCGGGGCUUUGGCUCGACGAGCUAAUGCAAGCACCGAGGACGGGUGGAAGACAUGUUUUGUGGUUGUCAAUGUUGGUUUGGAGUAGAAGGGUACUGUAGACCGGGAUGCAAGGACCAUGACCUGUCAAGAAGAAUGGUUCGGCUACCUGGUCACCAGUUUGUCUGGCUACUUGACUCUUGUGUGGGUGUGUUCUGAAUACUCAGUCAUUCAUGAGUGACUGGUUUAAAGCCAUGUCAUUGAGCUCUUUCCAUUACAAGUAAACCCAGUACCAGUUUGAAAUAGGGAUGUCAGAUUUUCCACAUCUCCUCCAUCUGGAGUCUUUUCCUCAAUGGAAUUAAGUAACUGAAUUAAUCCUGAUUCCCUCGCUCACAGCCCAAUUUCUGCCUUAAUACGCCUCAUGUGGUUCAACUCUCCAGAUGGAAGGAAUAACAUUAUUUUGUUGUCAUGUUUGCACUAAUUGCUUCUCUAGUCUGUAUAAGCCAUGGGAAACUGUAAACUGGGGAUUCACUUUUUAAAUCUAGGGUUUUGAAAGUUAAAUGUCUGCCCACUUAAAGCACACGGGAAGUCCUGGGUGAGGAAGAUGGCUGGCUUUGUUCUCUUCUCCCUCAGGUCUGGAGGUAAAGAGGUUAACUAGCAUGCACGCACAGAGAAGGGAAGAGAGAAGGAUGGAGAGAGAGAAUACCAUCAUGGGACUGAAUGCAGGUUUGAACCGGGGGCUUCCAUAAUAGAUUUAGAGGGGCCUCAAAGACACCUUUAAACUCUCCAGCUGUUCUUCAUACAGUGGUUAAUAAUAAUUAGGGCAACUGUUACAGUCUGCUAGGUUGGGGGGGGGGAAACUCUCCUGUACUGUAAGUGUAAGAAACAUAAAUUAAUAGUAGUUUAAUUGACUAAUAUUAGAACUAAGAUUUGGGACGUUUAUAGGUGUUUCCUGGCACGUCAUAAGCUGUAUGACAGCAUCACUGGAGUGACAGGAAAGUGGGUAUCGAAGUGUCCUUAAACACAGUAAAUAUGCAUCAAUCGAAAUCGUCAAGUUUAUAAACCGUUUCAUUACAUUUUAUAAUAUACUGAAAUUGUAAGACAGUUGUUUUUGAAAGGUGACAGGCAAAGGUACAGGUGUGUAUUGUGAAACAAAAUUAUUUGGUUCUAAUUAGCAAAGUAAAGUACAUAAGUACUCAGGCAUAAAGAGAAUGUAAGGCGUCUUAAACGAAUAAACAUUCCCUCCCCCCCAUACUAAUAUCUGCCAAGACAUAGCUCACUUAUUCACUCCUGAAAAACUGCCUGUAAUUUAUGCCUUCCUUUCUUCAGUGGACUCACUGUCAUACAGGGCUCAGGGCAAACAAAUGGCCCUGUAAGAACCAUAAAGGUUCACUCGGUUUAUGUUAACCAGGUGGUUGUAUGUGUGUACUGGUUCUACCAGUUCUACUGUGUACUGCCGAAGGUUAUUGUACUGUAUGAGAGUUUUGCAUGAUUGAUUUGGAUAUGUUUUGGAUCCCAUUUGUCUUUUACCUUACUGUCGACUGUAAAUGUACUGUAUGAGAGGCUUCAGAGAGAAACUUACAUCAGGGUUGUUUAAUGUUAACAGCAUCUAAGUUUGUUUUGAAUGUAUAACAAAUGUAGAAUUGUGAUAAGUGAAUAAGAAAUGUUGUAAAAUUGAAUGUUAAAUACAGUUUUUAACUAAUAA